rnacentral:rRNA from 1 species
ACCCCAGACUCCUACGGAGGCAGCAGUGAGGAAUAUUGGUCAAUGGCCGUAAGGCUGAACCAGCCAAGUAGCGUGAGGGAAGACUGCCCUAUGGGUUGUAAACCUCUUUUAUGCGGGGAUAAAGGUGUCCACGUGUGGAUGUUUGCAGGUACCGCAUGAAUAAGGACCGGCUAAUUCCGUGCCAGCAGCCGCGGUAAUACGGAAGGUCCGGGCGUUAUCCGGAUUUAUUGGGUUUAAAGGGUGCGUAGGCGGAAUGCCAAGUCAGCGGUAAAAUCGCGGGGCUCAACCUCGCUCCGCCGUUGAAACUGGCGUUCUUGAGUGAGCGAGAAGUAUGCGGAAUGCGUGGUGUAGCGGUGAAAUGCAUAGAUAUCACGCAGAACUCCGAUUGCGAAGGCAGCAUACCGGCGCUCAACUGACGCUCAUGCACGAAAGCGUGGGUAUCGAACAGGAUUAGAUACCCUAGUAGA